UCCCGAGGACUUCUUGAAGACGCAUCCCCGCAACCUAGCCAACAAGUACUUCCCCAAGGAGGCUGCCACCUUGGCA